rnacentral:ncRNA from 2 species
UAGUGUGUCACUGUCGACGGUUCACCGGCUUCCCGACAGUCGGUGUGCCAACAGGGAACCCGGUGGGAGUCCGGGACUGCCCCGCAGCGGUGAACGGGAACGAACGCCGUGCCACCCACUCGGGUGGUACCAGCACUGGACGCCGAGGUGUCCGGGAAGCGACGGUUAUCAGGACCGGUGGCCGAGCCGCCGGAAGCCCGUGAGUCCGAAGACCUGCCGUCGAUGCGCGCACGAC